AUAUUGGGCAAUGGACGCAAGUCUGACCCAGCAACGCCGCGUGAAGGAAGAAGGCUUUCGGGUUGUAAACUUCUUUUGUCAGGGAAGAGCAGAAGACGGUACCUGACGAAUAAGCCACGGCUAACUACGUGCCAGCAGCCGCGGUAAUACGUAGGUGGCAAGCGUUGUCCGGAUUUACUGGGUGUAAAGGGCGUGUAGCCGGGGAGACAAGUCAGAUGUGAAAUCUGGAGGCUCAACCUCCAAACUGCAUUUGAAACUGUUUCUCUUGAGUAUCGGAGAGGUAAUCGGAAUUCCUAGUGUAGCGGUGAAAUGCGUAGAUAUUAGGAAGAACACCAGUGGCGAAGGCGGAUUACUGGACGACAACUGACGGUGAGGCGCGAAAGCGUGGGGAGCAAACAG
rnacentral:rRNA from 1 species